GUUUUCCUUACACAGAACAGGAGUUGACUUAAACUCUACCUCCACAACCACGGCCUUUUUCUACAAGUCCAUUGGCAACUCGUCUUCCUCCAUUUCCACGGAGCAAACACCGGCAACUUGGUCUCCACCAUCAGCAACAUGGGUCAUUUUUCAAGACGGGCACCAAUACCUCUAACACGAGCAGGAGCAGGGACCCUUCCAACACCGGCAACUUGGUCUCCAACAUCAACACCAACAUGGACCAUUUCAACUUCAUCCUGGGCUUCACCAGCAGCACCAAGGCCACCAUCAGCAGCAACAUUUGCCAUUUCAACGGCUACUUGGGCCUCAGCAACCGCAUCAAGGCCACCAUCAGCAGCAGCACGGGGCAUUUCAAUAUGGGGGUUGGUGUAAUUCAUUCAAGAUAAUUCCUGCUGAAAUGUUGAGUAAAGUCUCCCGGUUGGGUCCCCAGCCAUGGCUGGUAAUGACACCAAUCUGCAGCACCAAAAAAAUUAGAAAAUAAUUUCUAGCAAAUAUUGCAUAUUAUAUCUAUACAUACCCCAUCAAACGACCAAGCGUUAUGAAUUACGAUGCAGUUAACGAUAUACUCCCUUGAUAGGCUCUUGUUGUAAGCGGCAAGAAAGAGUAUGUGUAAAACUGCUUGCACUUCGCGAUGGCAAGCUAUUUUAAAGACGAAGUUAUCGGCCGUCAAGCUUGUUAAGAAAGCCACUCUCCGAGCUCACAGUUUGCCUUGAUUCUCCAACCAUCGACCGAGCUUUACGUGUUUCGAACUUAGAUAAAACAAUUUCUAACAUUGAAUGGCAAUUUCAGCUAAAAACAUGCAAAACAACCACAUACGAAUCAAGCAGCACAGACGAAUCUAAGUAAAGACGAAACUAGAAGACGAUAUUUUUCGAUCUUUUUUUCAUAAAGCCAAAAUGGCGAUGUUAACGAGAACCGGAUUAAAUUAAUUAUUUUCUCUAGUAAAUAGAGUAAUUAAGUAAUUGUUCUUUUAUUAAAAAACCUUUCUUUGGUUCCUAUAUUUUUUUUUCAAUUGCACGAUUAGAAAUAACAUACAUUUUUUCGGGUUUCCGACGUUCCGGCCCACGUCUUUCCGGCCCUUCCGUUCCGGCCCAAUUUUUUUUUACUGAUCGGCCGGAAUGGGUUCCAUUCCGGCCCUAUUAAAUGUAAACAAUUCCGGUACACUGAUAUUAUUUGUAUUAAUUGCACAUUUACAUUAGACAUAGACAAUAUACAAUUUUUUAAAACGAAUAUUGUUGUUAAGGGCAUAGGUGUAGUGGUUGGAUUUAAGGUCGGUUAGGUCGUCGUGGAGUGAAUCGACAGAGUCAGAAAUUUUUCCAUAGCGCAAAUAAUGACGACGUGACGGAAAGCGAGUUUUUUUAUAGGUUCUUAAUUUGUGUUUGUCAAGAAGGAAGCAAGUAAAAGGCACUCGGUCUGCUUCAACCCAGAGAAGUUCAAGCAGUAGAUAUAGGUUAAGACGGGUGGGGUCUUUUCGCCAUUCUUUUUAGUCUAGCAUGAUAGCCCUCGACAGGACUAUUAGUUCUAAUGGUCACAUUGAAAGAUGACCACAUUUUGGGUUUCCAAAUUGAAUGCUUGAUCCAAAAUUUUUCGACAUAAUUAAAAAGAGCAAUCGUAAGAGCUCCUCGGGCUUGAGAUUUAAGAUUGUUAAAGGAGCUUCUAAUGAAACGAUGGGGCAAUAAAUUUAAAGACAUUAGUUUCCUACAAAGCCGACGUAUUCUAGGGUUGCUCCAAUAAAAUCAACCAAGCUUCUGAAUCUCCCUGAAAAUCGCUUGAUAAAAAUGGAAGCAACAACCAUGAAUUUCAAUUCAGAGUUUCAAAACAGAGACAGUUACCACAUUUACUUUGCCAGGAGUGGUUAAGAAUCCUCCCACAAAAGUAUUAUUUGAAACAAUGGUUUCGACUGGGAAUAGUAUCCAUCCGGGAGCGCGAUUGGUAAUAAACACCGUUUUUUGUAAUUGAUUUUUACACAACAGUUUAAACACAGCAAGUGAGGUAUCAUUAUAAAGUAUACCCUUUGUGGUCCAACUGGGUACGAUAUAGGCCUUUGGUUGGCCGGUGAAUUGACAUGGACAGCAGCAGCACGUUUAUUAGCUCUAGUUUCAGCUAAACGAGACGUUGCAUCGUCGGAAGACGAAUUUGAAGAAGAAGUAGCCUCACUCAUAUCUACCAGUAAUUAUAUCGAUUUUAUUUAUUCAUUUAUCAAUUUUAUUAGGCCUAUUCAUUAAAAACAAAUAUAAUUGCAUGGGACCGGAAAGGAUACAUUUAUUUGACCGGAAUGGUAUCCAUUCUGGCCGUACAGUAUUUAAAACAAUUUGACCGGAACGCUACGCCAAAUAUCCUAUUUUUUCUUCCAUUUUAGCGUUCAUUUGGAAAAAUUUUGAAUUGGAGCCCAUUUUUUUGGAUUUGGAGCCUGUAUACCAAUCUUCUUUCGAAGAUUGCUAUUUUCAGGCGCUCAUAUUCUAGAGAAAUCUUAUGGACGUUUUGUAUUGUUGGUGUAAGAAUUGGAUGAGAUAGCAUUGAAGAUUGGCUUUUGUCAUGAAACAGCUGGUUAAACUAGACGAAGACCUAGGACUUGGAUGAGAUAGCGAUUUCAGGUGGCUGCACUUUUCUGCCCGGGUGCAAUUGCCCGGAGAAAAAGUUGUUCGAGUGGUCAAGUCAGUGCAAUCCCCUUUAUCAAAUUGAGCAAAAUAAGGCUUUCAUUCCAGUGCUGAAACUAGCAGGUGGUGAAACAUUUACAGAGCGUCACUGGGCAGAAUUUCUGAAAAUAACUGGUCUAUCUACUGCAAGCAUCGAACAAUAAGUCACCCUUCAAGAACUACUUCGAGCGCAAACUGUUUUACCCCAAAACUUCAACGAAAUGAUAUUUUUUUUUCAAUUUUGAUAGGAAUUGAACAACAGAUUUGUUGACGAAUCGCUUUUCAGACAAGCGCUGGUUAGCACGUUGAUUCAAAUGGCAUUCAGCUAUUCAUCAUUUAAGGAGUCAAAGUUUUGCUCAACAAGGUCGGAGAGUAUUUAAGUCUUAUAAAGUCCAUGAAGGAUUAAUCCUACUAUCAGGCAUACAGUGACUGUAUAAUCCUGUGGGAAACCAAAAUGAAAAACCUAGACUUUUAUCUUCGCCGUUGGAGUCAAAUUCAAAUCAAGUUGGUUACUGAAUAUUAGAAUCCGUUUACAUCUGCCUUAAAGCGCCUGAAAUUUUUUUUAAAACAAAAGGUGGCUCUAUUUAGAACCUGUUUUCAAUCAAAGAUUUUUAUUGAAAGAUGCCGGUCGUUUUCGUCACCUCCACGCCGGUUUCCGGUUCAUUAUCUCUAAAAAAAUCGCUUUUUUUUUACAGAAUCUAGGAAAUCUAUCAAUUUUGCUUUAACUAGCAAUUCGCCACUCAACAACACCAAAAUCCCGGACCCCCUUUUUCCCCGUUCCGCUAUGGGACAUAUAAGUCUGCAAAAAUUCAGGCCUACACAGUUUUUUUCUUCGGAUUCGCCUGUGUUUUUAGAAGUCAAAUAUUCCCUGCCGUUCGGGAGAUAUUUCAUGUUAAAAUUUCGUUUUUUUUUCAAUUUUUGAUCAGGUAGUUUGAUUUUAGUUGAAUUAAAUCCUCCAUCAACUGGUAGCAAGUGGGAGAUAUCGUACCGUGGUUCACCUUUUCAGACACAAUGGCCGAUAAGUAAUCCACCUCUUUCACAAUAAUUCCACAGACCGGAUUGGUGGUGUAUUUUUUUCUUUCCCUGACGGAAAAUUAGCAGCCGGUACUUGUCUUCCACCAUUUUAUAGCUGUAGUAUAUAGGGAGUUUAAUACUGGCCUUCCUUUAUCCAUUUUUCGAAUCCUACAUACAGUGACAAAUGUCAAUGCAUCCUGGCUGUAAAAGAAGUGUAGCAUACGCUUAUCAUGACGAGUUCGUCCGAGGUGAGGCCAACACCAAGGCCAAAACCUUCGGUUCCACACCCUUUCCGUACCUCGUGAUUGCAUCAGGCAGUCGCCAACUGCUUUCCUCGUCGUAGGCACUAAAAAACGUAGAAAUGGUUUAUGGCUGGUCGAAAUGCGGAAGAUGUUUGGGCUUACCGGACAGCGUCUGAGAGGUGAACGAGAAAUGAGGGGGAAGGGGAAUCGGAGAGACCCAACAGCAUUCAGCGUGUGCGUUUUUCUGUCAAGGGAUAUGGAAACUUCGGUAACUGCAAUGCGAAUGACUGCAUCUCCAGACAAUUACAGACCUACACACUUGACGUUCUAGAAAUACAAGAUGUCAUAAAAAAACAAAACAAAAAAAACAAAAACAAAAAAUAAAGAACGUUAAACAUUAAAAGGAAAAACCUUUUGUGGGAAAAAAUGGGCAAUUGCUUAAUCCACCAAGGUACACCAUCCGAUUCUGCAGUCAUUUUGACGAGCAGAAGCUGAAUCGCGUGGUGUUCGAUUGUGUCAAGUUGUCAUAACACGGGUUCAAAAAAUAAUUUCUUACCAGGAUUCGAUUAACUUCUUCAUGAUACCCUUUAAUAUAUCUGCCCAAAAAUUAAGGAAAAUAUUCUAGUUUGGAAAGCACAAACAAAUAAAAUCAAUCCGUGAAAAUAUGGAUUUUUGAUUUUACUGCAACUUUCCUUGAACGUAUUAUAGAAACUUGGAUAAUACUUACUCCACGACGGUGAAUACUUUAAAAUGGCUAAAAGAACAAGAAAUAGCAGAAGUGAUGGUCUUUUUGAACUUGGGAGUGAAAUAAGCUUAGCCAUCGGAACCAAACUUCCCCUAAUUAGGACAGCGAUGAAUAGGUUUAUUGCUCUUUUAGUUCAACGACCUAAAAACACACAAGAUAUUUUCAAAUAAAUCAUGGUGAACUUAGAGAUACUUGGGGACAAGCAUCUAUACCAAUUACUCAGAAAAAACCUUGAUUAUUUAAUUAAAUUCACAAAUCUUGGACAUCGGCGAAACAAUAUCAAGAUUGUGAACCACACCAAUAGUAAAUAAUGAUGGAAUAUUAAAUAAAAAUAGCUCAUAAAUUUUUUCAAUGUCAAAAUGAUAUGUAAUAUGAAAACGACAUUAAAUAUGGGGAGGAUAAAAUUUUUUUUUGCGACAGUCAAGUCGAUAAGAUAUGACAGUUUAAGAUGGAAGAUACUAAUAAUUUAGCAUAAAUAUUGAAAUUUUUUGCGAUUUUGUGGUACAUACUGCGCCAAAUGUUUGUUAAAUUCACAAUAUUACAUCAAUUUCAUAUUAAUUAGACUUUUCA